rnacentral:rRNA from 1 species
AACGAACGCUGGCGGCAGGCCUAACACAUGCAAGUCGAGCGAGGACUUCGGUCCUAGCGGCGGACGGGUGAGUAACGCGUGGGAACGUGCCCCUUGGUACGGAAUAGCCCCGGGAAACUGGGAGUAAUACCGUAUGAGCUCUACGGAGGAAAGAUUUAUCGCCAAGGGAUCGGCCCGCGUUGGAUUAGGUAGUUGGUGGGGUAAUGGCCUACCAAGCCGACGAUCCAUAGCUGGUUUGAGAGGAUGAUCAGCCACACUGGGACUGAGACACGGCCCAGACUCCUACGGGAGGCAGCAGUGGGGAAUCUUAGACAAUGGGCGCAAGCCUGAUCUAGCCAUGCCGCGUGAGCGAUGAAGGCCUUAGGGUUGUAAAGCUCUUUCAGCUGGGAAGAUAAUGACUGUACCAGCAGAAGAAGCCCCGGCUAACUCCGUGCCAGCAGCCGCCGUAA